rnacentral:rRNA from 1 species
AUUGAACGCUGGCGGCAUGCCUAACACAUGCAAGUUCGAACGGCAGCACGGCAGUAGCAAUACUGUGGUGGCGAGUGGCGGACGGGUGAGGAUACGUCGGAAUCUGCCCAAUCGUGGGGGAUAACUAACCGAAAGGUUAGCCUAAUACCGCAUACGACCCGAGAGGUGAAAGCGGGGGACCGCAAGGCCUCGCGCGAUUGGAUGAGCCGACGUCGGAUUAGCUUGUUGGUGGGGUAAAGGCCUACCAAGGCAACGAUCCGUAGCUGGUCUGAGAGGAUGAUCAGCCACACUGGAACUGAGACACGGUCCAGACUCCUACGGGAGGCAGCAGUGGGGAAUAUUGGACAAUGGGCGGAAGCCUGAUCCAGCAAUGCCGCGUGUGUGAAGAAGGCCUUCGGGUUGUAAAGCACUUUAUCAGGAACGAAAAGCGUUGGAUUAAUACUCUGACGUGCUGACGGUACCUGAGGAAUAAGCACCGGCUAACUUCGUG